AAUCACGACAGGGGCCUCAUAUGAAGUCAAGAAAAGGUGGAGCUGAGGAAGUGUGAAUUCAUGGAGACCAGAGGAGCCAGAGUUGGGGCACAUUCUGGAACUAUCCUUUGCCUGCUGUGACUUUGAGCAUUUCCUCUUUCAGAAAACAAACAUAAGAACACCUACUUGCGGAAUUACUGUGGACUAUAAAAUUAGGCCAGGGUCUGGGACCAUCUGCGUGCUUAGGAGACAAGAAUGAGAAAUCUGUCAAGUUCUGUGAAAAAUGUAGCAAUAUAGUAACAGCGAGAGAAUGACUAAAAGCAAACACUGAUGGCAGAAUCUUAGUCCAUCCUAAUGGUGUGAGGCUUGAAGUAAAAGGAAGCAAAGUAAAAGAAGACUGCCGUGUUGUGAGAACAGUGAAGCAGCCGACUGGGGAGAAACUGAGGCUUCCUGUUAGCAGCACCAACAUUCCAGGCACAUGUGUGAACUUUCCUGGGAACUGAUCUGCCAGUUCAGUGAAACUCUCAGAUGACUGCAGCCAACAUCCACCUGAACCUCACAGGAAAACUCACUGUCCGGCUAACUCCUGAACACUUGGCCCCCC